ACGACCACAUCAUAUUAAAUCACCGGUUUCCGCACGAUCUCCAAAGUUAAGCAACAUUCAUUCUGGCUAGUUCUUGGAUGGGUGACCAUUCGGGAAAACUAGGUGCU